CAUUGCCCUAGCAGCCUGUUGGGGGGGGUGGCGCAGCACCAAACACUGGGUACCCCCCUCUGGGCCCCACUCCCUGCACCCCACAACCCACUCCAGCUCAGGAGGAGGCCUCUCCCAGCGGACGAAGAAGCCCGGGAGCCGUGCGGGGGCGAAAUGGAGAUCCCUCUGGCUGCCAGGACUCUUCCAGCAGAAGCAUUUUCUCAUACAAAGGAUACUUAGGACAGACUAAUGGAAGUAAGGGCGCGAGUCUGGAAAAGCUGCAGUUUGAGCCAAGGGGCUGUUUCUGAAUAUGUCACAUUCAACUGGAUCGAUUGGAGCAGACCACGAAUGAAUAUCCAACAAAGCUAUACCUUAAAAGCGUAUUUACAAGAUAUGAUAUGU